ensembl:lncRNA
ACACGGGCUGCCUGCAGCAAAGCAGCAGAAGUCUAUGCAGCAAUCCCAGGCAUUGGCUAGUUGUUUGAAAUGGAUGUUUGCUGAAUUCAGUAUCCUUCUAUGUGCAACGUAAGAACUCCACUUCCAACACAGAAUUACUGUGCUGGCAUAAAACUGUUAAAGCUCAACCACCAACCAAAGAGGCAAUUGAAUCCGUGGAGUUGAAUUCUACCUUACCCGCUCUGAGUGCAAACAGUUAUUUAAACACGUGGCUAAUGCAGAACAGAGCUAGGCCUAUGAAGAAAGCUACCUACAUAGAAAUGCAUGCAAGAUGAAGCUUCUGAGCAAGGUUUAGACUCUACUGAGUGGAAUGACGUGGAGGAAGACAAGCCAAUUACGUCAGCCCUGUGAGCUUCAUAAUUCAUCUUCAUAAUUAGCUGACUUCCAGGAUUCACUUUGCACAGUACUGUACCCUAUACAAAGCAACCUACUCAGGACCAGCACCUCUAUCCCUCAAGAGAGCACAGUGCCAUCACACAAUUGGCAGUACUGUUAAAGCAGGGAUCCUUCUGGAGGAAACAACUGAACCUUCCUCAAAACUAAAAGCCAACAAACCCCCAGCAGCAACACGACUCAGCAUUUCUUCAUGCUCUGCAGCUAUUUCUAAAGCACUCGCACAGAAAUAGGGGUUACACUUUUCCUAGCUGAAAAUCAAACACGCAGUCAAUUGUAGGCUACUGUCCUAAACUAAAAGCUCAUAAAAUGAACCUCUUAUUAUGUACAACUCCUGAGCAGCUACCAAGGGCUUCAGUUUUUCAGCUGAUGCUUAAGUUCAACCAUCUCAAGAUCAUGAGGGAAAGAUGAUAAUAAACAUGAUUAAGACCGUAUAACAUUUUGUGCCUGAGAUUUUAAAAGCCUUUCACAUUAACUUGAAAAUGGACAGUUGGCAUUGGCAUAUUUGAACUAGAUUUUGACCUGAACUUGCAGCAAGAUGCUGAAAUGCAAUUUAGAAAGCACGCAUAAAAAGACACACAGCCCCAAGAGAGCAGAAACACGCCGCAUCUUCUGCAAAAAUAUUGAAGAACCUUUUUGCUAUUAACUAAGUUACGUGAAAUGUGAGCUUAUUUUGGCAUAAAUAUUCUACCUGCCUUUAGAUAGAACUUGCUCUCCACGUGAUUAACUGUGGCACUAACCUUGAGUGCGUGACAUGAACAUUACUGCAUAUUUUUUCCCUUCUUAGCUAUGAGCAGCUGCACAAGGCUUCAUUCUACCAGUUCCUGAAAUACAGCAACAUUUAUAAAGUCUGCUCUCAUUAAAAGACAGACCGCUAUACCUACAAGUGAUAAAGUUCUGCUAUGAUGAUCUCAUCUGCAGCAUAUAUGAAUUAAAUACGUACGUGUCUAUUUA